UUUCAAAGAAGGUAUGAAAAUGUCCAACAGGUAUAUGGAAAGGUGCUCAAAAUCACUAGUCAUCAGGAAAAUGCAAAUCAAAACCACAGUGAGAUCUCAUCUCACAUUUGUUAAAAUGGCUGUUAA